UACGUAGGGUCCGAGCGUUGUCCGGAAUUACUGGGCGUAAAGAGCUCGUAGGUGGUUUGUCGCGUUGUUCGUGAAAACUCACAGCUCAACUGUGGGCGUGCGGGCGAUACGGGCAGACUGGAGUACUGCAGGGGAGACUGGAAUUCCUGGUGUAGCGGUGGAAUGCGCAGAUAUCAGGAGGAACACCCAUAGCGAAGGCAGCUUGCUGGGACGUUACUGACGCUAAGGCGCGAAAGCGUGGGGAGCAAACAGG
rnacentral:rRNA from 1 species